UCAUUAAUAUGGUGAUUAUGAUAACAUAAGGGAAAAAAAUGAUAUUACCUUAUUAUUAGUGUUGUCCAAAACUGGUGCCAGAAGACUCGGUAAGACCAGAGACGCAAACGUUAGUCAUCUUAAUCAGGCGUAAAGGGUUUGUAGGCUGCUUUAAAAAUUUAAAUCUUUGUAAUAGCUCUGUUACCGUAAUACUAUAUUUAUUUAUUUGAUUUGAGAAUAAAUAUUAUUGUAUAUAAAAUUUAUUAUAUAAAAUAAUAAAAUGAUAUUAAAGAAAAAUAAAUAUCCGUGUAUCAGUAAAGAAAUAAAUGAAUUAAAGCUAGGAUCAAAUUGAGGAUAAACCAAAUAAUACUUAGAGUAGGGCUUAUAUCCGUAGAUACUAAGGGGAAUACUAAAGGUGAAAACUUUUUAUCUACUAUUGAUUGACGCUGAGAAACGAAGGUGAGAAUAGGAAAUAGGAUUAGAUACCCAGAUACCUCUCACUGUCAACGAUGAAUGGUGGUUUGUUAGUUUUAAUAAAAACUGGUAACGAUGUUAACACGAUAACCAUUCCGCCUUGCGAGUACGGUUGCAAAACUGAAACCAAAAAAAUUAGUCGGUCUCGAAGCAAACGAAGUGAAGCAUGUUA
rnacentral:rRNA from 1 species